rnacentral:tRNA from 1 species
AGAUUAAAAUAAAUUAGGCUUCUAACCUAAAAUUAAUGGAUUCCAUUUUAAUCUU